ACACGCAUUCAGGAGCACAGAAGGGAGUCUGGAGCUGUGGCAACUCUGCCAACGCGGUCAUCAACAUAUGGUGAGAGGCCAAGCCUUACAGAAGCAGUCGUGAAGCAUCAGGCAAGGUUCCAGAAAUGAGGCUCCCACCUGCAUCACACACUGAACGUUGAAACUAAGCUAAAAAAAGGCCCUUUUCAGGGCCACCACAAGGUUUAUGCAGAGACAAGCGUUGCGUUAUGAACCCACCAAAGUGCACAUUAUUGUUUUUGGUCCAGCUGCAUACACUUUUCUGAAUUGUGUUGCUGA